GAUCUCGCAUGCGCCGUAGUAGCCUACUCGCCGCUUUAAACCAAGGCUGGACAGAUGUUAAGCAGCCUGGUUGAGGGGUGAAACUCCGGGAAAACAUUUUAAAGAGGGAGCUGAAGAGUCAACGCUGACCAUAUUAAUGUAGGGACAAAAUAAAUAACGGGCAUCAUGUUGAGAAAAUAGUUCCAGAUAUGUCAGCAGCAGGAGCGACGCGGAAAUGUCCACAACCGAGCAACAGCCAAAUCGAGUCUGUGGUAGAGGAUGACAGCAGAGGGGUCCACCGGAGCGGUCAACGCCGUCUGCACCCAAGACUCCUCCCACUCACCUAAAACAGCCUGCCUACAAACCACAUGGCCCUGCCCACAGAAGGAUGAGCUCGAAGUCAGACUCCGCCUCCGCUCCCCUCCUGGGGCGUGGCUACUAGCGGGCGUUGUCGUGGUGAUGGUGGGAAUGUUUGUGGCCGUGGCCGGGUACGCUAGCUCCACCCCUAACCCUGUGGGUGGGCGAGGCAGCUCCCACAGCGAGCGAAUGAAACUGCUCGGCCCUGUCGUGAUGGGCAUCGGCCUGUUCAUCUUCAUCUGUGCUGGAACCUUGCUGUAUGAGAACCGGGACCGUGAGAACCGAGAGCGUGAGAACCCUGAGGAGCAGGGGAAACACAAACAGAAGAAAACAAGGGAAUGGCGCCGGGAGAACCGUGAUUAUGAGGAUGUGGAACAGGGGAACCAGAGAGAGCCCUCAGACAGACACUCCCCUCUCCCUGAGGAGUGCCCGCCCCCCCUGCCUCCCAGAGUGCCUAGACAGGAGGGGUCAGAGUUGAACGUUCUCUCUGUGGGGGCGCUGAGCUCACUGCUACCAGGGGAGGGACAGGGGCGUGAAGAGAGAGUCAGAGAGGUGGGGGGUAAAGGGGGGUCAACCCUGCUGACCAGAGUCCUGCACCACCAGGACCCCCCCUCCUCCUGUCCCUCCCCAGCCCCCUCCUCUGUGUACUCUGACUCCUGUAACUCCAGUGAGAUCAACUAUAACGUUCAGACAGGCUCCCCUAUCCACUCUAUUCUCCAACUCUGAGAUACUACUGUACUCACAUCUGUACACACUUUUCUAAAUAAAUGCACCACAUAUUUCUCAUAUCUCUCUCUGUGGUUUCUAUAGGCUGUAGAUGCAGUGGAGUGUGUUGGGCAUCUCUCUCUACCCCUCUAGGACGGGCAGGGCCAGGGGGAGACAGGGGUAGGUGACGUCAGCUUGUUGUUGUGUAGUAAAGUCUCUCUCAGGGGUGUUUGACUGUAUUUGGGCUUAGGGGAGGAUUCCACUGCAGACAGUGACUGUGGUGCCAUCCUGAAUGAUGCACGUACACACACUAAAUACGGCCAGACAUUCCACUAUGGAACAGGCUGCUUUGGAGAACUUUGAUUCAUGAUGUCGUUUUAACUGUAACUCAAAGUUUGAUCUAAUAUUAGUGACUCUGUUUGUCAUGGCUGUUCUCCUAUAGGGGUUCUGUUUACACACCCAAACCUGGCUCAAGAGAUGGACGGAAAUCAUAGCAAUGAAAACAAAGUUAAUGGCUUCUCAUAGUUGGCUGUUGGCUGUCUACAUGCUUACUCUUUACUUGAGUUAGAUGUUACUGGCCAAUAACUGGUAGAAUCCACGUUGUUCCACUUCAUUUCAACAAAACAUUUGCAAAAAGUCAUCAACGUAAGGCAAUUGCGUCAUUUUCCCACCCAAAUUUUAACCUAAAUCCAAUAUCAUUGUGAAUUUGUUUUGUUGACUUCACGUUGAAUUCACGUUAGCUGACAACUCAACCAAGUGUGCCCAGUCUGUUUGCAGUGCAUAUAUGAAGUAUAUCUUUGCGGCGUGUAUGCAGCAAACCUUUGGUCUUUAAGGUACACAAAACCAUUAGGAUGUUAGACUGGGUUUAAUUGAAUAGAGCCCACAGAUGCAGAUGCAGUAAAAAAGGGGGGGGGAUUUUAAUUGUCCUGAGUGUUCUCCUCCAGCCUCCAAUUACACUGUGGAACCGACCAAGGGUUUUUUAUUGGUAUUUCAGGACUGCAGAGUAUUUCCUCUGUUGUUCAGACACAUGCUGGGAUAAUGCCAUUGAGAUUAGUGAGGAACGCCAAGACUGGCCGUGCAGGGCAAGGCAGACACAUCUACACGACACAGGCACAACACACACACACACAACCGCAUGCAUGCUUUCACACAUGCUAAACCACUCACACCUCGUACUGCUUUUGAACCCAUUAAUCCCGGUUCACCACCAGUGACACUACCAGGGAUAGACCAGUACUUGGUUUCUCGCUUCUGACUAUGCUAAUACUGGGAAGUGUGUGUUUUUUGUGAGUUUAAUGCAGCAGCUGAAUUAUGUGGUCAGUCAGUGUUUGAUUGCUGGACUGUAAUCCUGAACAUCAGAUUAAAUGCACAUGUAAUCCCUGCCUGACCCUAACACUUACUCCACCUAUGGCCUCCCAUAACACGCACACACCCUCUCUGUCCCACACGGAGAUAACCUGUGCAUUGUAUUUCUGCUCUUGCUGUUGCCUAGGUUUGUUUAACUGUCUCAGUCUGUCUCUGUAUUACGCAAUCCCACAAACAGGACAGUUGUUUUAGUCUCCCUCUAAUGUCAGUCAUACAUUUUAUUAGAGUUUAUGCAGGAUCAGUACUGUGGGACUGGGAGCACUGUCUCUAAGCUGCUUAACUCCUCGCUGAGUCAGACAUGUGUGUUUUACCGAGGAGGGAGACCCUACUGGGGUUACAGGACCAGAGACAGAGGGCUGAAUCCUAACAUGCAAAUCACAACUUUGUGCAAAUAUCCCAUUGAUCAGUAGAUAGUCAGGAUCUCAAGUUAGUGUUUCGACUUGGCACCGCAAUAACACCUGGGACACCUGUGACCCACAGCAACAACAUCUGGGACACCUGGGACCCACAGCAACAACACCUGGGACCCACAACAACAACACCUGGGACUCAUAGCAACAACACCUGGGACUCAUAGCAACAACACCUGGGACUCAUAGCAACAACACCUGGGACACCUUGGACUCAUAGCAACAACACCUGUGACAAAAAGCAACAACAUCUGUGACCCACAGCAACAACACCUGGGAACCACAGCAACAACACCUUCACAUAAAAUGAGGAUGAUCAGGAGGAGCAACGGGAGGAGGGGCCUCUGCAGUGUUUCCGCUGUGACCUGGGCUUCUGGGAUGCCUGCUACACCACCAAAACCAACUGCAAUAACGGGGAGAAGUGCUACACUGGCCGAGGGAAGGCAGGUGAUGUGCUGGAUGUUAAGUUGCUGGGCUGUGUCAAGGCGAAGGAGUGUGAGCUGGUGACCAAUGUGGAGAUCUUCUCCAACACAACCAUCUACAUGAUGACCAGGCACUGCUGCGACACACACUUCUGCAACACCGGACACACACUACCCCUCAACACACUUCUCUCCCUGUCCCUGACUACAAUAACCAUCAUCCACCUCUCCUCUCCCUGACAGUGACUACAAUAACCAUGAUCCUCACCUUCAACAGACUACAAUAACCACCAUGCAUCAUAAAGUCCCCAGCAGCACACAUUUAUUCAAUUUUCUGUAAAUAUUCCGUGUUUAUUUGUCAAGGAAUAUGGACGGUAAUUAGCAUAUGUGGAUGUGCCAGAUUGAGGCAAAAGUGUCAUGUUCAAACCUUAGAAGCUGUCUCUGGGCUCAGUGAAAAUUGGUUAGAUGGUUUUAUGGAAUUCAAUUUUUAAUAAAUGUAAUUUUCUCAUUCUGUUGUUGGCAUAAACUACAAAAGGAGACUGGAUUUUAUUUUAUCAUAUUUAUUGAACAUUCUGAAUUGUAACUGAAUAACGUAAUACAAAUUUACAUUGUCCUCAAUCUUGGUUGGCAUAUUUUAAACACGUCAAAAUUACUUUUAUGUUCUCCUCCAAACCUAAAUAUUUCCAUAGAGAAUACUACAGUAUCUCCCAUUGACUUUAGUGUUAUUGUAAAUCCUAAAGUAGUAUGCAUCAAUCUCUCAGACCCAUAUUCACAGAUCUAGGAUCAUCUUAACCUCUCUAAAACCAUCAGCAUCUUGGGGCAACUUCCUCCUACAGUCAGUGAAGCUGAGGUCAUACUGGUAUACAGUAGCGUUGCUGCUAGGCAGACAACAGUAGCGUUGCUGCUAGGCAGACAACAGUAGCGUUGCUGCUAGGCAGACAACAGUAGCGUUGCUGCUAGGCAGACAACAGUAGCGUUGCUGCUAGGCAGACAACAGUAGCGUUGCUGUUAGACAGACAACAGUAGCGUUGCUGUUAGAGCAGGUCUCCUCCAGAGGGAAGCAGCUCCUCCUUCAUAUAGCGCUGCAGAUCCACACUCUGGUCCUCAAGGUCCACACACAGAAACUUCUUCACUACACAAACACACCUGACAGGGACACACACACAAAGAAAACACCUGUGGGUGAUUGUGCGUAUGUAUUGCAGGCAGAAUAACUUAUUUAAAUGUUCAUCUGAGCCAUCUUUGUUGCAGGUGAAUGGUAACAGCUGAAUAAGAUGAGAAAAAGAAGAAACCCGCACACUGAUCUUGAUAGUAUCACUGCUCUUU